rnacentral:misc_RNA from 1 species
GAGAGUUUUAAUUAUUCAGUUCAUGUCGUUAACUUUCGAAAACUUGAGGUGAGGGUGUGAGGCAAAUACAAAAUUUAAAAGGAAGAAGAGCAAGAUAGCCAGGGCAGUUCUAACCAAAUAAUGCUCUCUCUCACUAUUAUGAUUAUUUUAGCUUCUUCCUAUGAUGUUCUAUAAAUAUUACUUAUAUAAAGCAUCUUAGACUUAUCUUCACUGACACAAGCACCUUCACCUCGCACCUUGUGCCAAGACUUAAAAGAGACCUUGUUGCUUAAGUGCACAUGCUGCUUUAAAUUUAGCAACUAAAUGAAUUGCAGCAGUACAAUACCAUACUUAAUGAACAGGCAUUGGAAUUUACAUAAAAGCAC